rnacentral:rRNA from 1 species
GGAAUUUUCCGCAAUGGGCGAAAGCCUGACGGAGCAACGCCGCGUGAGGGAUGAAGGCCUCUGGGCUGUAAACCUCUUUUAUCAAGGAAGAAGAUCUGACGGUACUUGAUGAAUAAGCCACGGCUAAUUCCGUGCCAGCAGCCGCGGUAAUACGGGAGUGGCAAGCGUUAUCCGGAAUUAUUGGGCGUAAAGCGUCCGCAGGCGGCCCAGAAAGUCUGCUGUUAAAAAGUGGAGCUUAACUCCAUCAUGGCAGUGGAAACUUCUGGGCUAGAGUGUGGUAGGGGCAGAGGGAAUUCCCGGUGUAGCGGUGAAAUGCGUAGAUAUCGGGAAGAACACCAGUGGCGAAGGCGCUCUGCUGGGCCAUAACUGACGCUCAUGGACGAAAGCCAGGGGAGCGAAAGGGAUUAGAUACCCCAGUAGUC